rnacentral:rRNA from 1 species
AUACGUAGGUGGCAAGCGUUGUCCGGAUUUACUGGGUGUAAAGGGCGUGUAGGCGGGGAUGCAAGUCAGAUGUGAAAUUCCGAAGCUCAACUUCGGCGCUGCAUCUGAAACUGUAUCUCUUGAGUGCUGGAGAGGAAAGCGGAAUUCCUAGUGUAGCGGUGAAAUGCGUAGAUAUUAGGAGGAACACCAGUGGCGAAGGCGGCUUUCUGGACAGUAACUGACGCUGAGGCGCGAAAGCGUGGGGAGC